GUUGACCUCUAGAGCUACUUCAACUUCAAGAUGCACAACUUCUGAGUAAUUUUGCAGCUGCACCUCAGCACGUGACCAGCACUGCAAUAGGAGGGAGAAAAGAUGGAUUUGGCUAAGACAACAACCAUGAAAUCUGGGUCAGAAUGAGAACUCUUUGAGCCCAUUUGUGAAACUAAGACACUUUGGAGAUGUG
rnacentral:lncRNA from 1 species